AGAGUUUGAUCCUGGCUCAGAGCGAACGUUUGCGGCGGGCCUAACACAUGCAAGUCGAACGGGCUAGCAAUAGUCAGUGGCGCACGGGUGCGUAACACGUGGGUAAUCAACCCUUCAGCUUGGGAUAACGCCUUGAAAGGGGCGCUAAUACCGGAUACGGCGCGCGAGACUUCGGUCUUGUGCGAGAAAGGCUCGCAAGGGCCACUGAGGGACGAGCCUGCGGCCCAUCAGCUAGUUGGUGGGGUAAGAGCUCACCAAGGCUAAGACGGGUAGCUGGUCUGAGAGGAUGAUCAGCCACACUGGAACUGAGACACGGUCCAGACUCCUACGGGAGGCAGCAGUGGGGAAUAUUGCGCAAUGGGCGAAAGCCUGACGCAGCCACGCCGCGUGAGCGAUGAAGGCCUUCGGGUCGUAAAGCUCUGUGGGGAGAGACGAAGAAAGCCCGUGAAGAGCGGGCCUUGACGGUAUCUCCUUAGCAAGCACCGGCUAACUCCGUGCCAGCAGCCGCGGUAAUACGGAGGGUGCAAACGUUGCUCGGAAUCAUUGGGCGUAAAGCGCACGUAGGCGGCUAGAUAAGUCGGGUGUGAAAGCCCUGGGCUCAACCCAGGAAGUGCAUUCGAAACUGUCUAGCUUGAAUCUCGGAGGGGGUCAGAGAAUUCCCGGUGUAGAGGUGAAAUUCGUAGAUAUCGGGAGGAAUACCAGUGGCGAAGGCGCUGACCUGGACGAAGAUUGACGCUGAGGUGCGAAAGCGCGGGGAGCAAACAGGAUUAGAUACCCCAGUAGUCC
rnacentral:rRNA from 1 species